GCCCAGGGCUCCUUGCUGAAUGCAGGCGUCUGCGGAAAGAGGAGGACAUGCUUUCACUGGAAGCCUGCUUCCCAUUCUGAUCCGAGUCAAGACGUUUCCCUUUCUAAAUGUGGGCAAGAAAGGCGCUGGCAUUCUGCAGCAUCAUUUCCUGAUACCGUGGGUGGACUUUCUGUUACCAGAGAGCAGGGUUGAUGGCAGUGUCAUUCACUGGCGUAGACAUUGGAAGAGGACUGGGUCUGAUGUUGGAAGAUAUUUGGUGUUGGAUCUCAAGACUUGAAUGGAAACAUCGACUCCUCCUGGACCUUGAGCCCAGUGGCCUUCAGAUGGUAACUACAUGAUCGGCUCUCCUGAUUCUCAGGCCUUCAGACUCAGACUGAAAGUAAACCACCUGCUCUUCAGGGCCUCCGACUUGCCAAUUCACCCUGCAGAUCUUGGGACUUGCCCACCUCUGUCCAUAAUCAUAUGCAGCAACAGAGGCCCACAGAGAUGAAGUGACUUACUUGAAAUCCCCCCGAGUCAUUGCUGAUGAAGCCAGGAGAAGAAUUCAGGUUUCCUGACUUCCGGUUAUGCGUCCUUUCCAUCACACGGCUACUGGAUAAGUAGACAGGAUUGUGACUACACGAGAGAAGAAAUAAAUUUCAUGCAGAAGUAGAAGCACUGAGACUUCCCUUUUGGGGAGAAGAAGGCAGUUGGUACAGGGGACAAUCCGGAUACAACAGGGAGCACCCACAAACCUGUGCAGGAUUCACUCCACUCCCGUUAAGUUGAUGCUACACAGUGGGGUGGUUUGCAUUAUUUCGAAGCAUAAUCAGCUGGUACCAGUGCCUGGAAGGCAAGGACUGGCUGUCUCUACAUGGCAUGUUGCUGUUGGUGAGCACCUCACUGCUCAUUCGCUAAUGAAAUGACACAGAGGUCCUGUAAGACUGAGCCGUGAAAUGAGCUACGUAGAGGAUGCCUGUGAGCAUGAGUUCUCCUAUGCCUGCCCUGGUGAGGAAUGCUGGUCCUCCCGUCCCAGAAGAAUCCUUAAUUACAAGGUUCUUUGGAGAAUAUAAAACCACCCACUGUCGUCAGACAAAUGAAGAUACUAAGGCCAAGGUCCUCUGCAACAUAGCAUCCUCAGUAAGAGCCCUGAACCCUGAGAUGGCUCAUGAUGAAUUACUGUGGCUGGUUUCUCACACUGUAUUCCAUGUAACAGGAGGCUGAUCUCUGGGGACUGUACCCACACAGUUCCGAUGACCUUUGGCUUCCUACUGGUUUGGGCCAAUAGGAGAAACCAGCAAGUGACCAGAGAACAUGGGGACAGUGAGGAAGAGUGGCUCAGUUUGACACACAGCCUAAGUUGAGGUUUGGUUAACUCGUCAAUAUAUCAUGUCACUGGAUUUAUGAAGGGAAGAAAAAAGUGCAGAACCAAUGAAGGCAUCAAAGACAAGCUCAUCCCUAGUCCCAAGGGUCUUUCAAGAGGUGAUUGAGUUCAAAUGAGACCAUCAGGGUAUGACCCUCAUUCAGUGUGUUGAGUGUCUUAGAAGAGGAGGAAGAGACAUCAGGGGCCCACAUGCACAGAAGACAGCCACCUCCAAGCUGAAGAGAGAAGCCUCACAGAAAAUCACCUUGUUCUUGGACUUCCAGCCUCCAGAACGAACACUUAAAAUGACACAUGUAGACACAUUCUAUUUCUAUCAGACACCACUGAUAAAGAAGAAAAAACGAGGCACAAGAAUGUUUUAAAGUGACUUGCUCUGGAUUCACAGAGGGUCAGAAUGGAAAUCAGUGUCUGACAGCCUGGGCAGGAGUCUGAUCAUUCCUCCAGGGAGACAGGACUGGCACUGCUUGGCAUGAUCCUUUGAGAACAUCUCCCCAACACUGAGAUCUUCACCCACCACUUUGUUUCUCCUGAGAAGGAAGCAUGGGAAGAUGAAGUCAGCUCAGAGGAUGAACAAAAAGUUGUAAUCCUGUGUGAGUCUUGAAGGCUCACUGAAAGCUACUACAUCCUAGAGAGACCCACUGGCCCGUCCUUGUGGGAGAGGAUCUCUGAGGCUUCUCCGUGGACCAUCUGAAGAUGCUCGACACUGGCUGUAGUUGUCUGACUGGGCAGUGCCAUUACUAUUGGGGUCCUGAAGAAAAGCCAGUUCUGCCUCCUAAGACACUGUCAGCAGCACCAUGAUUCAAACGAUUUACUCCCUCGAGAGAAGACUGAUGAGCUCACAUAUCCACUGCACUCUAGCACAUGCUGUAAAAUUCCGCCACUUAGGCCAAGAAGUUGAAAAAUAUCUGAGGUUAUUGCAAGAUAUGGAAUAUAGUUCCCUGUGCUAUACAGAAGAACAAAAAACAACACCGUUUUCUUUACGGCAGAAUACACGGCUCUUCUCCUCUGGUGCCUCCCCUGAAAGGAACAACAGAAGUUUUCCUCUCCAGAUUCACUGAAAAGGAAAGCAAGAAGAUACCUGCCCACUUGGGCCUGAAAUGAGAAUCGUUUUCCUGUUGCCAUCUGCUCUACUGUGGGUCGCACACACACGUUCACGGAGCCCCCACUGGCCUCAUGCCUCCACUGACAUCUGAGAAAAGUAAUACUAUCUUUACAUGGACUUUAUACUGUGCUUUUGCCUUUAAGAGUCCAGCGAACUGGAGAAUUCUCUCAUGCCUGAUUCUGCAAUAUUUUUUCUUCCCCUCCUGCCUCCUUUUCUGAGAUGACAGAAACUUACCCAGCUACUAGUUCACCUGCUCAGAGGCACGGGUGACUUCCAUAUGCCAAAGAGCAGCUGUCAGUCAAUGGAAAAGGUGACAAGCCUCUGUGAGGGCAGAGGCCACGGCAGCAGGGGCCACAGCAAGAUGUUGGGUGAGGAGCUUCCAGGAGGAGAAAAGUUGCUCCCCAUCCUCCCAAAGACUUCCCAUCCUCAGCUGCCUUUCCAGGAAAGUAAAAUCUGAAGCAUACGCUGCACAAAGUUCCUAAAAACCACAUAUACUCUUCUAGCCAUUUCUUCUCAGGAUGCCAGGCUCCUGGCUCCCACAGGCAAUGACACACCUCCUCCACUGCACCUUGAGACCUCCCUGGGGCAUCAUCAGUGAAGUUCAUGGGUGCUAUGGAAAGAGUUAGGAGGUCUGGUUCUAAUUCAUACAUCUCUUCACCUCUUCGUAGCCUCAGAGAAAUCAUCUUUAAUGUGAAGGAAAUAGACUAGAUGUCUCGAAGGACCUUUCUAGACUAGGGGUUAUUCUAACAUUGAGUGAGUGAGAAAGAGUGCUUUAGACUCUGCUGAAUGAGAAAAGGUACCUGCCCUUGGGUGCUUAACCUGGACUGAGACAGCAACACGGGAAGUGACCAAUACAAAGGGAGAUGAUGAAACAGAGGAGUGGUGAAGCCAUGACAGUUUCAGCCCUAUUCAGGAUUUUAAGUCCGUACUGAGGAAGCUCCUGGAAGAGAGAGUGCAUCAAUUUAGUCAACCGAAACUUAAUUCAAGAAAUGCAGAAGAAAGGAGAAGGGAGAUGCUGAAAAUUUACACCAUCAUUUUCUAGAAAUGUCCUCAUUGUCCAACGGAGACCUGGGGGAGAAGGUUAGCACAGAGUCAUGUUUGAUAAGUCAGACACGCUCCCAGGCUCGGGAUCUUCUAGAUGAGCAGUGGGAGACCACAUCUCUGGGGCCACCACGUUUCACCACUCAGUGCGACAGCUGUCCAUCUUCCUUUCAGGUCUGGACACAACCUCUUCCCUCCCUCAUAGGGCACACCAUGGAUUAGUCAGCAGGGAAAAGACAAGUGUUCAAACCAGAAGGGGAGUGCUGUGGACUAAAUAUGCCUCCCCUCAACCCCAAUUCAUAUGUUGAAGCCUUAAUCCUCCCUGUGAUGGCAUCAGGAGGUGGUUAGGUUUACUUGAGGGCACCAGAGUGGGCUUAUCAUAAUGGGACCUAUGCCCUUAUAAGAAAAGAUACCAGAGAACCUGCUCUUUCUCUCUCCACGACGCGAGGGCCCAGCAAGAAGGAGGCUGUCUGCAGAAGCUUUUCCUGUAUGAGACAUGACAGGAGUGUUCUGGUUCCCUUUCUCAUUUAAUAUCAGAUUUUCUCAUGCUAUAAUGCCUUAGAAUAUAGAGGCAUCAAUACAGAAAUCUUUAUUUUAUAAGUGGUACAAUAAGAUACAGUGUCUGCGACUUACUUGCUCAAUGUAACCCAGUGGAAACUCAAUCCCAGAGCCAGUACAGGACUCCCUAAAUAUCCAAGACAGUGGGAUAGGAAUGUGAUCAUCUGCUUCGAACAGGUAUGAAAAAGGUAGAGGAUGGAAAUGUCUAGAAUGCUCACAAAAUGAUUUGCACAUAAAUUAAAGGUAACAUUUGUGCGUAAGGUAAGAAGCUACAACCCAAUUGUGAAUUAGGACAAUUAUAAGAGUAGGUGAUAUAUUGACUGUAGAUUUGCUUCUGUGGAAACUCUUCUCUCCAUGAAAGUCUCUGCAAAUACUGUUCCACACCCAGAGCAUUAGAGCUGGUAAGACCUUAGACAUCACCUGGGCCAGACUAUCAUCAUACGAGAAAAGAAACUGAGACCAGGUGCUCAGAGGAAAGUCACUAGUCUUCAGUCUUAUAGUGGAUUAGUGACAGUUUCCUGGUUCUUAAGCCAAAGCUUUUUCAGUCUGUCAAGCUGAACUUUCAGUUUCAAGGAUAAAGUCUCCUGCCAGGGAGCAGGUUUUCAGCUCUGCUCAUUUUUAAAAUAUUAUUUGUUGUCUUUUUCUAUCUAUAAGAAACAUUUACUUUUAGUUGAAAAUCUAGAAUAUAUAAAAACUCAUAAAGGAGAAAAUUGGUUACCCACCACCCAGAAAAAAAUUAUAUUUGAUGUGUUUCCUUUUGAUGCCUUUUCCUAUGCUACUAAACUGUAAACUCCACAGUGGCAGGAACUGAAUUAAUCUUGUUUGGCUCAGCCCUUAGCACAGUGUCUGGUACAUAAAAUGCACUUGAUCCCUGCUUAUUGAAUACAUGACUACAUAAAUAUAGAUAUUUAUGUAUAUGUGCAAAUAAUUAAUGUUUAUGUAAUUUUUAAAAAUGAAGCCAUACUGUUAUACACUUAAUACUGUUUUUUCACUUAAUAUUGUAAUGUAAAUAUUUUCCCCAUCUGUAAAUAUCCUCCUAUAAUAAUGUUUUAAUAGCUGCAUAACUUUCCAUUUUAUGGUUAAACCAUGACUUAUUGACUCAUCUCCAAUCAAUGCACAUUUAGGUCAUUUCCAAAUUAUUCUGAAUUAUAAACAGUACUACGAUAAAUGCCUCUGGAAAUGAAUCUGAGUGAGAAUCAGUCUGGGGGAAGUUGAGUCUACCUUCCGUUACUAAUAAAAGAAGUUUGGGCUGGAAAGUGACAGGGAGUUGACAGUCUGUGGUCAUCUUAUCAGCCUCUUGUAUGUCAUCUGACUCAGCUUCCCUCCCAAAUCACAAGCCUCAGGUCAGAACUACCAGUCUCUGAUGGUCAAAUUAAAUUUUAUCUCAGUCAUGUCUUCCAUGAAAAAGCCAUCCCAUGCACGUGAGAUAAAGAGCAUUUUAGAGUUGAUUUUAUCAGUCUCACCCUUAGCCAAAGAGCACUAAAAUAUAAAGUGCCCUCCUCUCCCUAGACAAGUUCAAAAUACAUAUCCCACUAGGAAAGUGACUUUAAAUUCAAGAAAAAUAGAACAGGUGGCCCAAAUCCAAACUUAAGUAACAGAUUUGUUUUCCUAAUGAAAUCUGUGCACAUGAGUUCCCUGAAUGACCCCCCACUUGACUGAACAUUUUUUAUGAUUGUAUAUUACAUAUAUUAUACAUCCACUGACAUUCAGCAACCUAUGAGUUCAGACUGCCUCUUUAUUCUCCCCUUUGGCUGAGCCAAAGCAGACCAAAGCAGAUCCUUCAAUGGCCAGAAGUUUCUGUUCGAAGAUACAAAAGGGAUCCCAUGGUAUCCUUUGAUGUUCUUCUCUGAGCACUAAGAGAAAGUGCUCUUCUUCUAGGGAAGAAGCAGGAGGGGAACGUUCCUUCCUCAACUUUCUCUUGCUGGUAUCUGAGCACUAGCAAAGGGCAGAGUGGGAGCAGCAGAGAAAAUACGGGGACAGUGGCAGGAAAUGAGGUUGAAGAGCAGCCAGGGGUCAUAUCAUGCAGGACGGGGUAGACAGUGGUACUUGGGAAUGUGAUCCCAACAUAAAAACAACAGGGCUUAUUUGGGAGAGAGGGAGGGGAGGUCUAGACAAGCUAAUCAUGAAGUUAAGACGGAAAAAAUUUGAAGCUAGGUUAUCCAGAAAUAUUUGAAAUUGGAGAACAACGGAGGAAGAUUAGCCCUACUAAUCUUCACGUUAAAAUAUGAAGCCACAAGAAAUAAAAUAAUGUAAUAUUAGUACAUUAAUAAGAAGACAGAACAAGAUAACAGGCCUAAAAGUCCACAAAUAGACCUAAACAUAAUUUUUAAAUAAUUUUUUAAAAUAUGACCAAAUGGUACUUCAAGUCUGGGGGAAAAAAUUUACCAUACAUAAAGACUAACUUCACUAAAAUACAAAGAGGCAUCAGUAUUAAAAAAAAAAUGAGCAAAAAAUAUCAACAGUUCACAAAAAAGGAAAUCCAAAGGGCUCUUAAAUACAGAAAAAGACAUUCAAAAGAAAUGAAAAAUAAAAACACAGUAAGAUAUCAUUUUUCAGCUACUGGAUUGUCCAAGAUCAAAGCACUGAGGACUGACUACAUUGGUGAACUUGCUAGUCACUUGCCUAGUUUGCUCUCAAAUCCAUUCCCAGCCCCCUCCUGCCCUGCUGAUUUUACCAUGUACCCUACAACCCAGAAGCAUCAGGCAGGAUGGUCUGCUGGAAGCUCAACUGUGGUCUGGCUGGAAGAUCAUACCCUGCACGGGUGGGAUACUGUCCUAACAGGAUGCAGUAUCCAUGUUGGACCAGUAACAUGUAUACUGCAUCCUGUGUGGUUUCUCCCAUGGUUGGAAUCCACGUGGCCAGGAGCAAAGGGAUAGAAGAGUGAUUCUUCUCGCUACACCUAGUGGCCCAUUCACAGAAUGCUUCCAGUCCUCUGACCAUGGGUUCUGCUCAGUUAGGAGUACUGAUUCCCAAGAGGUGAGUGCAUCCACAGGGACACAGCAGUGGUUUCACAGAACUGGAAGCUGAGGCUACCAUCAGGCUAUUUUGCCACUGAACCAAUAGGCAGAGGAAGCAGUUAUCAUAUUUCUGAGGAGAAUAAUCUCUAUUACCCAGAGGAAGUUGGGUUGCUGGUACCCAGUGAAGCAGGGAAGUCUGUGUCUGGAACUGAAGGGACUCUGCGGUGCCUUUUAGUAUUUAAUGACCAAUAGUAAAAAAAUCAAUGGAAGUCACUGCACCCAGUAAAGGCAGGACUAUAUUAAAAAAUCAGACCCUUUGGGAAUAGAUUCGAGUCACUUCACCUGGUGAGGAUUCCCAAAUAGCCAAGUGCUGGCAGAGGACAAAAGGAAUGUGGAGUGAGUAGCAGAAGUGAUAAAUAUCAACUUCAGCCUUAUAGCCAGUUGCAGACAUGAAGACUGAACAGUGGUACCUGCUUUUAUAGAUAUGGAUUAACCAGUUAUUUCUUUUUCCAUUUCCCUCCUUUCCCUGAUGAUUUUGUGUGAGGAAUUUCCCUGAUGGUACUGAAGUUUACAAUCAGAAGAAUGACAUCCAGACCUGAAUGGAUCCAGAUCCUAGGCUGUCGAGAUGCGUCCACUCUACACUUCUUACAAGAGACAUGCCUAAAAUACACAAAUGCAUGGAGAGAGAGGAGAGAAAGUUGGAAACAAGUGGAUGGAAAAUAUUUAUUAUGAAAAAGGCAGCUCUGGCGAUACAGAUUCAUCAUGAAAAGGAUAACUACCCUUUCUCUGAAUGACCUGUAGGUGCACAGAGCCAAGCCUUCCAGGACUUGCGAGAAAGACACACAUCUUCUUGAAGCCCCCUGAGUCCUGAACCGGAUCCCCUGGUGGGGCUGACCUUGGGCUACUUUCUGGGGGUUGGAAGGUACAGCAGCCCAGGAGCCGACUCGGGGUUGCCUGUGAUCUUUCAGAGCACUGGAAUUUUGGUCUUGGUCUGAGCCCUUAAGUUCUGUGUCUAAGUGCUUAGAUGCUGUGAUCUCUUUCCAUUCACUGGAACUAACCAAUAAAUGGGCAAAGAGCUCAUUUGUGACACUAAGUACAGCUUUCUCUCCAACAUGAACAGUCAACCACACGCUCCCAAUCAUUUCUAUUCCAUUAAACACUGUAAAUUAAAGUCCAAGGAGGGAGCUAAUUUCCCAUCAAACAGAAGAACUAAGGGCCCCCAAAUCUGUUCUCCAGUUUUUGCCCAGAUGGUCAUGUAGGCACACACUCACAGGCCAACUCACCCACUUCGAAAUACAACAGAGCAAAACACAUAAAAAUAAACA